UUGUUUCAGCCUGCGACUUGAGGGUUAUGAGCUGGGGAAGAGACAGUUAAAGCUUCCACGCACCAGCAAGAUGAGUUGUACCACACAGCGCCCAUGCCAAGGUCAGCAGUCUGAAUGGAGCUGAGACACUUACUGCCCGUGCCAAGCAGUGCCAAGCACCUCUGGAAGCCCCUGCCUAGGACCCCCAAAUUUAGAUUCAUGCUGCAGUCUGGAGAGUGUUUUGACGGCUGCCGGGCUACAGGGAAAAGCGCACUGCACACUGCCUCUGAGAUGAGACAGAGCUCUCCAGGCUGGGAGUCUGGGGAAGCCGGACCUGGGUAGCGCUGCUCAGGUUCCAGGGUGGCACUCCGGUUUCAUGUUUAAAUGACAAGCCCACCAAGCUAUACAGCCACCCUUGAAGUGAACACCAUAAAACCUGAACACAUCAUACUCCCUGCAUCAAGGACAAGUCAAAGUUACAGUCCCAGGCCCUGGGUCCCAGGAUGACCUGCCUAGGGGUGGCUCCAUCCACAGUGGGCUGGACGCUCCCACAUCAAUCAAUAUCCAAGAAAAUGCCCAGCAGACAUAGCCACUGGCCAGGCAGAUGGAGACAAUUCUUCAGCUGAGUGAGAUCUCCUUUUCCCAGGGAAAAGCGGAGCCCUGUUCAGCAUUGGUCACCAGGUUGCAGGGGCAUCACUUCCUUUAUCCAGCAUCCUGCCUCUGCACCAUGUGAAGAAACCAACCCACUUUCCAAUGGCAAACCCAAGUUCAUGCAGACCAUAUUCUCCAACGUCUGUACUUCCCCUACCAGUUGGAUCUGUGUUCUUUUGCAGUUCUGGGGACUUUUCAAGACUCUACUGACUAAAUCUGCAAAGAGUGCCGAUAAUGCAACUCUUAAGCUGGCUUUCUGAGCUAUCAUGAUGUCUUUCCCUCUCUUUGUGCCCAAGACCGUGUGCUCUCUUGCCUUUGAAGAUCCAUGAUGUUUGAAACUCAUGAGACCCAAGGCAGAAGUGUCCAGACAACUAGGAGCUAAGUCAAGCUGCUUGCAUUCGCAAGCCAGGACUUGACUGGAGGGAAUACAAUAGAGGUGCAGACACUUCUGUGCUAACCUGUGAGUGCCUUUGGACCAUGAAAAUAAUGUGUCUGUGGGAAAGACAAUGGGUGGUUGCUUGUUGAUGCCUCCUGGGGUGCUGUUUGAUGAGCUCUGAAAUACGCACUCUGCUCACACACAGGGUCACAGAAGGCACGGGGAUCUUAAGUGCACUCGUUCUAGGGUCAUCAGUGAGCUGACACUAUGUGCAGAUGAGCCCCUCUGCUUCUCCUGGAAUCAUCAUUAGAUGGCCAGGAAGGAUCUCCGUGUUGGACUCCUCCAUUCUGAUACAUCCUGUCUUCAGGGAUAGAAAAUGUUCCUGGGGGAACACGGGAGCUAAAGAAACCUCAGCUUUUCUCGAGUGUCUGGAUUAUUCUGAACUACAUGGAUUAUGUUCAAGCCCAGGAUGAGUGGCUCAAAGCGUGGCUGUGAGUGAGUGAGACGAAGAAAAAUUGGGAUCAUAUUUUAUUCAACCAAGAGAAAUGGAAUCCAGCAUAGUAGAUUUCAUGUUCUUGGGAAAUAUGUCCUGUCAAUGGUGUUAUUGAGAAGAUAGGCAGAGAACACGUUCUCCCAGACAAGGAAGAGAAGAAGAUGUGGCCUUGGCUUUGUGAGCUGUGGCAGGGAGGGACCUAGCAUGGGAGCAAAGGUCUCUGGAAGCUUCCAGACAAACAAGUGUGGGUGUCGUUUGUCAGCUCCCUGAGAGUGGGUAUCGCAGAAGACUUCCUGUGUUUUCUGUGGAUAAAUACACAAAACUAUGCAUUACUGCAA
rnacentral:lncRNA from 1 species